rnacentral:rRNA from 1 species
GACGAACGCUGGCGGCGUGCUUAACACAUGCAAGUCGAACGGAAAGGCCCUGCUUUUGUGGGGUGCUCGAGUGGCGAACGGGUGAGUAACACGUGAGUAACCUGCCCUGGACUUUGGGAUAACUUCAGGAAACUGGGGCUAAUACCGGAUAGGAGCUCCUGCUGCAUGGUGGGGGUUGGAAAGUUUCGGCGGUUGGGGAUGGACUCGGGGCUUAUCAGUUUGUUGGUGGGGUAGUGGCUUACCAAGGCUUUGGCGGGUAGCCGGCCUGAGAGGGUGACCGGCCACAUUGGGACUGAGAGACGGCCCAGACUCCUACGGGAGGCAGCAGUGGGGAAUAUUGCACAAUGGGCGCAAGCCUGAUGCAGCAACGCCGCGUGCGGGAUGACGGCCUUCGGGUUGUAAACCGCUUUCGCCUGUGACGAAGCGUGAGUGACGGUAAUGGGUAAAGAAGCACCGGCUAACUACGUG